AUUGAACGCUGGCGGCAUGCUUUACACAUGCAAGUCGAACGGCAGCGGGGAGGAGCUUGCUUCUCUGCCGGCGAGUGGCGCACGGGUGAGUAAUACAUCGGAACGUGUCGAGAAGAGGGGGAUAACCACCCGAAAGGGUGGCUAAUACCGCAUAAAUUCUGAGGAAGAAAGCUGAGGACCUAGUAAUAGGCCUAGCGCUUUUUUAGCGGCCGAUGUCGGAUUAGCUAGUUGGUGAGGUAAAGGCUCACCAAGGCGAAGAUCUGUAGCGGGUCUGAGAGGAUGAUCCGCCACACUGGGACUGAGACACGGCCCAGACUCCUACGGGAGGCAGCAGUGGGGAAUUUUGGACAAUGGGGGCAACGCUGGACCAGCCAUGCCGCGUGUAUGAAGAAGGCCUUAGGGUUGGAAAGUACUUUUGUUAGGGAAGAAAAGGCAGCUGUGAAUAAUGGCUGAUACUGACGGGACCUAAAGAAUAAGCACCGGCUAACUACGGGC
rnacentral:rRNA from 1 species